UACGAAGGGGGCUAGCGUUGUUCGGAUUUACUGGGCGUAAAGCGCACGUAGGCGGAUCGUUAAGUCGGGGGUGAAAUCCUGGAGCUCAACUCCAGAACUGCCUUCGAUACUGGCGAUCUAGAGUCCGGAAGAGGUGAGUGGAACUCCUAGUGUAGAGGUGGAAUUCGUAGAUAUUAGGAAGAACACCAGUGGCGAAGGCGGCUCACUGGUCCGGUACUGACGCUGAUGUGCGAAAGCGUGGGGAGCAAACAGG
rnacentral:rRNA from 1 species